UACGUAGGGGGCAAGCGUUGUCCGGAAUCAUUGGGCGUAAAGCGCGUGUAGGCGGACUGGAAGGUCUGGUGUGAAAGCCCGGGGGCUCAACCCCCGGAGGGUCACUGGAAACCGACAGUCUUGAGUCCGGAAGAGGAGAGUGGAAUUCCUGGUGUAGCGGUGGAAUGCGCAGAUAUCAGGAGGAACACCGAUGGCGAAGGCAGCUCGCUGGGACGGUACUGGACGCUGAGGCGCGAAAGCGUGGGGGAGCAAACAGG
rnacentral:rRNA from 1 species